CUCGCGGACAGCGCGGCUGUGCGGGCGGAGAGCUGUCGCACAACCAGAACUGGACAGAGUAUUCCAGAAGAGGCCUCCCCAACAUCUUGUACAUCCCCAACAUAACGUCCCAACCCCUGUACUCCAAGGUCUGAACAAUCAAGAUCCCAGUGAUUAAUGCCAUCUCCCUGUCGCCUGGGGAGAGGGUGAUGUUUGACUUUCUUGUACAGCUGCAGUUUGUGUGGUGAAGGUGCUCCCACAAUGGGGUUGGGAUGAGGCUGUCACUGGCUCGGCCAGCAUUUAUUGCUGCGUUUACCCAGAGGGCAGUUAAGAGUCAACUGCGUUGCUAUAGGUCUGGAGUCCCAUGCAGACCAGACCAGAUACCAGUGAUCAGUGCCAAAGCCCCAUUGCCUGUGGAGAAGGUGAUGUUUGACUUCCUGUACAGCUGCAAUUCAUGUGGUGAAGGUGCUCCCACAAUGUGGUUGGUGUGCUAGACGGUGAAGAUUUGCAGACUGAAAUCUCAAACUCAUAUGCAGAUCCUGAUUAUGUUAACCAGCAUUUGAAGAACCAAAGAUAGAGAAUAACUUGGCCAAAAUUCUGCAACACUCUCGCUCACAGCAUUGUCGGUCUAUCUGCACCAAAUGGACUGCGAAUGAUUCAAGACAGCAGCUCACUACCAUCUUCUCAAGGGUAACUAGAGAUAGGGAAUAAAUGCUGGCCGAGCCAGUGAUGCCCAUAUUCUGGAAAUGGUUCCUAUCUCUAGUUGCUGAAACCCAGUUGAUGUUAGUGCAGGAUGAUGAGGGACGCUGAGUGCAUCCUCCAGAAGGCAUCGCCAUCACAUUACCCCUUCCUACACCCACACAGUAACACAGCAACGUUACUGGAACAAAAGGCAGUGAACCCAAAGGAGGACUUAGAUAUAGUUCUUCGAGGUAAAGUCAUGAAAGGGGAUUGGAACACAGCAGGAACAGGAGACUGAGCUGGAUGGUCAGCUGUUUCCCAUUGAAAGGUGGAGCAGGAUUGAAAGGCCGAAUGGCCGCCUCCUGCUGCUAUAUCCCAGGUAUGUAUAUAGCCACGGAGCCCGGGUAGGAAGGAGUGGGCAGGGAUUCUCCAGGAGAUUGCACUUCCACAUCAGUUUUCAGUGAGAGAUGGUAUGAUGGAUUUUAUUCAACAUUUAUCUUUAACACAAGGUUUGUGAGUUUAG